CAUAGAAGGUAUUAGUUAUGUGCCAAAAAAGGUUCUGACGGAGACACGCCAAUGGCCUUGGUUGGAAUGCCGGAAAACAUUCAUCCCGGUGGCGGCUGUGGUGCUGACAGUGGGUACCGUCACCCUCCUGCAGUCUGUGCUUCACGUGGACAUGUGUGCACUAUUUAUGUGGCUAAUAGGCUUCCUUACUGAGGGCAACGUUUACAUGCCAUAAAAAGUCCAUUAGCUGAAUUUAAGCUUCUCCAGAGAUCAUGGGGCCUAAUCUGUACUUGGCAUUUGACGUGGAGGGAAUUGAAAAUCCCAAGGACCCUUUCUGCUGGGCCAUUGCUGGGAUUGAAGAGAGAGCUUCGCUGAACGCGUGAGUAGGUGAAUGGAUGUAUUAGGUACCAAUCCCAGGACUAUCAGGCAGACUCAGAAAGCAGCACAUGGGGAACAUUCUCAGACUUGAUGCAUUAGCUGAUGACCCACAGUGCACCAAGGCUCCCCACUUUCUCCUGGAGUCGGGCCGCCUGUCAAGUCUCCAGCCCCUCAGAGGCUGGCUCUGGGCAGUCAGAUCUGUCUGCAUUUGCCCGAGGAGUCAUCUUUAUGCUCCUCCUGCUUUAGGGCAUUGUUUUGGUGCCAUACUCUGCAACCUCCAGUCUUGGCCCUCUGCCUGUUGUGUUGAACAGGUAGCCUGGGGAGAGGGACCUCCUGAGACAGCAGAAUGAUUUAAAGGCAUUCUGGUGAGAUUAAGCCUGGAAGCAACAAUUCCUUGUGCAAGAUGUGUGAGGGGAAAAAAUUAAGUGUGUCUUGCUCUGGCCUUCAAUUCAUGGAGAGCUGUAUGAAUUAGAACUCAGAUGGCAGAUCAUCAGUGAAAGAAAAUCUUGUUUAAGUAAACAUUUAACCCUUCACUCAUGUCUUCAUGACAUGGAGAUUAAGAGUGUGAACCCUAAUGUAGACUGCUUGGGUCCCAGUGUCACCGGUUACUAGCUGUGUGGCCUUGGGCAAGUCAUUUAAUUUCUCUGAGCAUAAAUUUCCUCAUCUAGAAAAUAGCAUCUAGCUCAUUGAAUUUUGAGAAAUUAAAUAAUGCAUAAAUAAAACACUACCUGCUUUAUCUGCUCGGUGCCCUACCAAAUUUUGUUCUUGCUUUGUAGUUAUAAUUAUUCUAAUGUUAUUCUAAUCCUUGAUUGAUUGUUCACCAGCUUUUUACCUUACUUACUAUGACUAAGCUCCACGUGCAGGGAGCUAUGGGACAAAGAGGGAAGGGUCAGAAUUUCAUUUCAGUUGCAUUAAAGAAGAAUAAACACACAGAAAGUAAAAGUGUGUUUCAAAGCAUAUAAAUUUAUACCAAAAGAGAGAGAUCAUUACUAAUAUUCAUAUUAGCAAGAAUUUCCACAUAGAAUAUAAAAAUGCAAGAGAAUAUUGCUUUCACCCUAACAG